rnacentral:rRNA from 1 species
AGGACGAACGCUGGCGGCGUGCCUAACACAUGCAAGUCGAACGCGCUCCAUUCGGUAGCAAUACUGAUGAAGAGCGAGUGGCGAACGGGUGAGUAGCACGUGAGCAACCUGCCCCGAAGACCGGGACAACACCGGGAAACCGGUGCUAAUACCGGAUAUCCCUAUCGGACCGCAUGAUCUGAUAAGGAAAUGGAUUCCGCUUCGGGAGGGGCUCGCGGCCUAUCAGCUAGUUGGUGAGGUAACGGCCCACCAAGGCAUCGACGGGUAGCUGGUCUGAGAGGACGAUCAGCCACACUGGGACUGAGACACGGCCCAGACUCCUACGGGAGGCAGCAGUGGGGAAUCUUGCGCAAUGGGCGAAAGCCUGACGCAGCAACGCCGCGUGGAGGACGAAGGCUUUCUGAGUUGUAAACUCCUUUCAGCAGGGACAAUAGUGACGGUACCUGCAGAAGAAGCGACCGGCCAACUACGUGCCAGCAGCCGCGGUAA